rnacentral:rRNA from 1 species
AACAGCUAGAGUAUGGUAGGGGCAAAGGGAAUUUCCUGGUGUAGCGGUGAAAUGCGUAGAGAUCAGGAAGAACAUCGGUGGCGAAGGCGCUUUGCUGGACCAUAACUGACACUCAGGGACGAAAGCUAGGGGAGCGAAUGGGAUUAGAUACCCCAGUAGUCCUAGCCGUAAACGAUGGAUACUAGGUGUUGUCUGUAUCGACCCGGACAGUGCCGUAGCUAACGCGUUAAGUAUCCCGCCUGGGGAGUACGCACGCAAGUGUGAAACUCAAAGGAAUUGACGGGGGCCCGCACAAGCGGUGGAGUAUGUGGUUUAAUUCGAUGCAACGCGAAGAACCUUACCAGGACUUGACAUGUCGCGAAUCUUCUUGAAAGAGAGGAGUGCCUUCGGGAGCGCGAACACAGGUGGUGCAUGGCUGUCGUCAGCUCGUGUCGUGAGAUGUUGGGUUAAGUCCCGCAACGAGCGCAACCCUCGUGUUUAGUUGCCAUCAUUAAGUUGGGCACUCUAAACAGACUGCCGGUGACAAACCGGAGGAAGGUGGGGAUGACGUCAAGUCAGCAUGCCCCUUACGUCCUGGGCUACACACGUACUACAAUGGUACAUACAGAGGGUUGCCAACCCGCGAGGGGGAGCUAAUCUCAGAAAAUGUAUCGUAGUCCGGAUUGCACUCUGCAACUCGAGUGCAUGAAGUUGGAAUCGCUGGUAAUCGCAGAUCAGCAUGCUGCGGUGAAUACGUUCCCGGGUCUUGUACACACCGCCCGUCACACCAUGGGAGUGGGGUUUGCCAGAAGUAGUUAGACUAACCCGUAAGGGAGGUCGAUUACAACGGCAGGCUUCAUGACUGGGGUGAAGUCGUAACAAGGUAACC